rnacentral:rRNA from 1 species
GUGCAGCAGUCGAGAAAUUUUCUCAAUGGGGGCAACCCUGAAGGAGCGACGCUGCGUGGAGGAUGAAGGCUUUCGGGUUGUAAACUCCUGUCAUUUGGGAACAAGUUGGACGCAGUAACUACGCGUCCAUUGAUAGUACCAGAAGAGGAAGGGACGGCUAACUCUGUGCCAGCAGCCGCGGUAAUACAGAGGUCCCAAGCGUUGUUCGGAUUCAUUGGGCGUAAAGGGUGCGUAGGUGGCGCCGUAAGUGGGGUGUGAAAUUUCGGAGCUUAACUCCGAAACUGCAUUCCAUACUGCGGUGCUUGAGGACUGGAGAGGAGACUGGAAUUCAUGGUGUAGCAGUGAAAUGCGUAGAGAUCAUGAGGAAGACCAGUGGCGAAGGCGGGUCUCUGGACAGUUCCUGACACUGAGGCACGAAGGCCAGGGGAGCAAACGGGAUUAGAUACCCGUGUAGU